AAAUGCUGAAGCUGGGAGCGGCGACAGGGAAGCGCUGGCUCCCAGAAUGGAGGUAACGGCUGCUGCGGCCUGGGAGGCUUACCCGGAAUUAAGGGCGAGGCGAGGAGAUCCGAAGGAAAAGGAAAGCUUCACCCCAAGUUACCCAUUUGCCUCUUUAGGCUGGGUUGCCAGAGCCCUUGGCCUGGGAGAAGGACUUUUAAGCCUAUUGGACCUGCCAGCUGUUGGUGACCAGGUGAAAUAGAUAUCCUGAGCACACCUGUUUGAUUCCAAGCCUCCAUUUAGAAAGGGAGCAUGAGAAGCACUGAAAAGUAAGGCACUGUGAUCUACACGGAAACCAUAUAUUGGGCUCACAGCUACUGAAUGAGACCGACUGGUGGAGACAGUUUA
rnacentral:lncRNA from 1 species